CCUACGGGUGGCAGCAGUGAGGAAUAUUGGUCAAUGGACGCAAGUCUGAACCAGCCAUGCCGCGUGCAGGAAGACGGCUCUAUGAGUUGUAAACUGCUUUUGUACGAGGGUAAACGCAGAUACGCGUAUCUGUCUGAAAGUAUCGUACGAAUAAGGAUCGGCUAAAUCCGUGCCAGCAGCCGCGGGAAUACGGAGGAUUCAAGCGUUAUCCGGAUUUAAUGGGUUUAAAGGGUGCGUAGGCGGUCGGAUAAGUUAGAGGUUAAAUGCCGAGGCUCAACUUCGGAAUUGCCUUUGAUACUGUUCGGCUAGAGAGUAGGUGCGGUAUGCGGAAUGUAUGGUGUAGCGGUGAAAUGCUUAGAGAUCAUACAGAACACCGAUUGCGAAGGCAGCGUACCAAGCUACUUCUGACGUUGAGGCACGAAAGCGUGGGGAGCAAACAGGAUUAGAUACCCCAGUAGUC
rnacentral:rRNA from 1 species